rnacentral:lncRNA from 12 species
GUUCUAUAUGGGAUUGAUCAUGGCGACCGUCCAGGCUCCAUGCUAAGCAAGGUGGAUUUUUGUUUGAAAAGGUCCCUGCUGCAGUAUGCUGUAGUUCUACUGAAUGCUGAUGAGACCCCACCAAGCCCUAGCCCAGCCACUCACUAUUGAC